rnacentral:rRNA from 1 species
CUACAAUGGGUGGUACAAUGGGUAGCAAGAGAGCAAUCUGGAGCUAAUCCUAAAAACCAUCCUCAGUUCAGAUUGCAGGCUGAAACCCGCCUGCAUGAAGCUGGAGUUGCUAGUAACUGCAGGUCAGCAUACUGCGGUGAAUACGUUCUCGGGCCUU